AAUAGUUCAGGGAAUUUCAAAAUGCAGAAGCUCAGUCUUUUGUUAUGCUGUCUCUACUUUCUAUAGUAAAAGGGGAGACAGCAUAACAAAAGACUGAGCUUCUGCAUUUUGGAAUUCCCUGGGGAAUUCC